rnacentral:tRNA from 1 species
AAAAGUGAAAUCAAAAAUGAUAUUUCAUUUACAAUGAAAAUUUGUCUUAAGCCACUUUUU